AACAAACGCUGGCGGCGUGCAUAACACAUGCAAGUCUAACGGGAACGUCGGCUUCGGCUGGCAAGUACCGUGGCGAACGGGUGAGUAACACGUGGGUAAUCUAACCUUGAGUCUAGGAUCACCUUGCGAAAGCGAGGCUAAUACCGGAUAAGACCACGCCCUCCUCGGAUGGUGCGGUAAAAUGUGGCCUCUUCUUGGAACCUAUCACUUGGGGAUGGGCCCGCGGCCUAUUAGGUAGUUGGGAGGGUAAUGGCCUACCAAGGGGACGAUGGGUAGCCGGCCUGAGAGGGUGUACGGCCACACUGGAACUGGGACACGGUCCAGACUCCUACGGGAGGCAGCAGUGGGGAAUUUUGCGCAAUGGGGGAAGCCCUGACGCAGCAACGCCGCGGGAGUGAUGAAGGCCUUCGGGUCGUAAAGCUCUUUUAGUGGGGAAGAAGCCCACUCGGACGAAUAAUCCGGGUGUCUGACGGUACCCACAGAAAAAGUUCCGGCUAACUACGUGCCAGCCGCCGCAGUAACAC
rnacentral:rRNA from 1 species